rnacentral:rRNA from 1 species
UACGUAGGGUGCAAGCGUUAAUCGGAAUUACUGGGCGUAAAGCGUGCGCAGGCGGUUGUGCAAGACCGAUGUGAAAUCCCCGGGCUUAACCUGGGAAUGGCAUUGGUGACUGCACGGCUAGAGUGUGUCAGAAGGGGGUAGAAUUCCACGUGUAGCAGUGAAAUGCGUAGAGAUGUGGAGGAGUACCGAUGGCGAAGGCAAUCCCCUGGGCCUGCACUGACGCUCAUGCACGAAAGCGUGGGGAGCAAACAGG